rnacentral:rRNA from 1 species
CAAGCGGUGGAGCAUGUGGUUUAAUUCGAUGCAACGCGAAGAACCUUACCUGGUCUUGACAUCCACGGAAGUUUUCAGAGAUGAGAAUGUGCCUUCGGGAACCGUGAGACAGGUGCUGCAUGGCUGUCGUCAGCUCGUGUUGUGAAAUGUUGGGUUAAGUCCCGCAACGAGCGCAACCCUUAUCCUUUGUUGCCAGCGGUCCGGCCGGGAACUCAAAGGAGACUGCCAGUGAUAAACUGGAGGAAGGUGGGGAUGACGUCAAGUCAUCAUGGCCCUUACGACCAGGGCUACACACGUGCUACAAUGGCGCAUACAAAGAGAAGCGACCUCGCGAGAGCAAGCGGACCUCAUAAAGUGCGUCGUAGUCCGGAUUGGAGUCUGCAACUCGACUCCAUGAAGUCGGAAUCGCUAGUAAUCGUGGAUCAGAAUGCCACGGUGAAUACGUUCCCGGGGCCUUGUACACACC